rnacentral:rRNA from 1 species
AUUGAACGCUGGCGGCAGGCCUAACACAUGCAAGUCGAGCGGAGCGGCGGACGGGUGAGUAAUGCCUAGGAAUCUGCCUGGUAGUGGGGGAUAACGUCCGGAAACGGGCGCUAAUACCGCAUACUAUCAGAUGAGCCUAGGUCGGAUUAGCUAGUUGGUGGGGUAAAGGCCUACCAAGGCGACGAUCCGUAACUGGUCUGAGAGGAUGAUCAGUCACCGUGGAACUUGGGCCCGGUCCAGACUCCUACGGGAGGCAGCAAUGGGGAAUUUUGCACAAUUGGCGCAAGCCUGGUGCAGCCAAGCCGCGUGUAUGAAGAAGGCCUUCGGGUUGUAAAGUACUUUCAGCGGGGAGGCGUUACCCGCAGAAGAAGCACCGGCUAACUCCGUGCCAGCCGCCGCGGUAAUUC